UUCCUCUACGCCUAGGACA
rnacentral:snRNA from 1 species